GCCCCAUCCAGAUAGGGGCCCCCAGCCUGGCCGCCAGCUUCUGUCCUUGCCAGGUGCUCCGCUGUGCCUCCAGCCUGCCCGGCUCAUGCCCAGCCUGGACUUUGCUCUACGUGACACUACGGGGGACGCGGCACUGUGGGAGGCCGCCGGGAGAGUGGUGAGGGCCUGACAAGUUCAUUCAGAGCAGGACACAAACCCCUCCAGCAAAGUCAGCUACGCCUCUCAGAGACCUGUCACCCCACGUUCCCAUACAGGUAACAUCAUGCCAGCAGGUGUGGGCUCACCUGCUCUAGGACAAGAAACGCUUCAUCCCUAGCUUCAUCACUUCCUACCUGCAUGAUCUCAGGAAAAGCAGGAGGCAGACACUCGCCAUGGAUCUACUGUACGGCAGAUGCGUGCUGCCUUAUUAAUUGCUUCUGGAAUGCUUGAAGUCUUUACCACGAAGAAGUACACAAGUGCUUUGAGAACCAGAAGGAAGAAGAUCUACAUUAAAAUAAGAACCCACGUGGGGCACCUGGGUGGCUCAGUCAGUUGGAUUUCGGAUCUCGGGGUCCUGGGAUAGGGCCCUUCCGCGUGGGCUCUGUGCUCAGUGGGGCAUCAGCUUGUCCCGCUGCCCCUCCCCCUGCUUGCUU